AACGAACGCUGGCGGCAUGCCUAACACAUGCAAGUCGGACGCCCCGCAAGGGGAGUGGCGCACGGGUGAGUAACGCGUGGGAACCUGCCCUGGAGUGGGGGAUAACCCGGCGAAAGCCGGGCUAAUACCGCAUGCGCCCCGGAGCAAUCUGGGGGAAAGAUUUAUCGAUCUAGGAUGGGCCCGCGUCGGAUUAGCUAGUUGUUGGGGUAACGGCCCACCAAGGCGAGUAUCCGUAGCGGGUCUGAGAGGAUGAUCAGCCACACUGGGGCUGGAACACGGCCCAAACUCCUACGGGAGGCAGCAGUGGGGAAUAUUGGACAAUGGGCGCAAGCCUGAUCCAGCAAUGCCGCGUGAGUGAUGAAGGCCUUAGGGUUGUAAAGCUCUUUCGUCAGGGAAGAUAACGACGGUACCUGAAGAAGAAGCCCCGGCUAACUUCGUGCCAGCCGCCGCAGUAAAAC
rnacentral:rRNA from 1 species